rnacentral:rRNA from 1 species
UACGAAGGGGGCUAGCGUUGCUCGGAAUCACUGGGCGUAAAGCGCACGUAGGCGGAUUGUUAAGUCAGGGGUGAAAUCCUGGAGCUCAACUCCAGAACUGCCUUUGAUACUGGCGAUCUCGAGUCCGGGAGAGGUGAGUGGAACUGCGAGUGUAGAGGUGAAAUUCGUAGAUAUUCGCAAGAACACCAGUGGCGAAGGCGGGUCUCUGGGCAGUAACUGACGCUGAGGAGCGAAAGCGUGGGGAGCGAACAGG